rnacentral:rRNA from 1 species
AUUGAACGCUGGCGGCAUGCUUUACACAUGCAAGUCGGACGGCAGCGGGGUAGUGCUUGCACUACUGCCGGCGAGUGGCGAACGGGUGAGUAAUAUAUUGGAACGUACCGAGUAAUGGGGGAUAACCAAUCGAAAGAUUGGCUAAUACCGCAUACGCUCUGAGGAGGAAAGCAGGGGACCUUCGGGCCUUGCGUUAUUCGAGCGGCCAAUAUCUGAUUAGCUAGUUGGUGGGGUAAGGGCCUACCAAGGCGACGAUCAGUAGCGGGUCUGAGAGGAUGAUCAGCCACACUGGGACUGAGACACGGCCCAGACUCCUACGGGAGGCAGCAGUGGGGAAUUUUGGACAAUGGGCGCAAGCCUGAUCCAGCCAUGCCGCGUGUCUGAAGAAGGCCUUCGGGUUGUAAAGGACUUUUGUUAGGGAAGAAAAAGGAGCGGUUAAUACCCGUUUCUGCUGACGGUACCUAAAGAAUAAGCACCGGCUAACUACGUG